UGUAGCACACUGGACCUUUGCAAAUUGCGAGGUUCGAGUGUUUGAUAUGUAUUCCGAACUUUUCCACACUUGGUGGAAGGUCGUAGAUGGUAUUCCGACCUAAAAGUUCGAUCUCUAGAGUUUUGGCAAGUCCUGAGAGUUUUCACUCUCGGGGACCGGUCCCUGAUAGGAGAGACCGGUCCCCUCAGAACAGUGUUGCGGCUGUCUGCGAGGCAACCGGUCCCUGGCGGAUGAGACCGGUCCCCGAGCGCGACCACGCGGGGAGAGACCGGUCCCAUGCGGGGAGAGACUGGUUCCCGAACGUUGGAUUUUCGGGGCAGGCUGAGAGACCAGUCCUAGGUCGGGGAGACCGGUCCCU
rnacentral:lncRNA from 1 species